rnacentral:tRNA from 2 species
GCCCGCGUGGUGGAAUGGUAGACACACGAGACUUAAAAUCUCCUGCCCUCAGGGCGUGCCGGUUCGAAUCCGGCCGCGGGUA